rnacentral:rRNA from 1 species
UACGGGGGGGGCAAGCGUUGUUCGGAAUUACUGGGCGUAAAGGGCUCGUAGGCGGCCAACUAAGUCAGACGUGAAAUCCCUCGGCUUAACCGGGGAACUGCGUCUGAUACUGGUUGGCUUGAGUUUGGGAGAGGGAUGCGGAAUUCCAGGUGUAGCGGUGAAAUGCGUAGAUAUCUGGAGGAACACCGGUGGCGAAGGCGGCAUCCUGGACCAACACUGACGCUGAGGCGCGAAAGCUAGGGGAGCGAACAGG